rnacentral:rRNA from 1 species
GAUGAACGCUGGCGGCGUGCUUAACACAUGCAAGUCGAACGAAGCACUUUAACCUGAUUCUUCGGAUGAAGGUUUUUGUGACUGAGUGGCGGACGGGUGAGUAACGCGUGGGUAACCUGCCUCAUACAGGGGGAUAACAGUUAGAAAUGACUGCUAAUACCGCAUAAGACCACAGAGCCGCAUGGCUCGGUGGGAAAAACUCCGGUGGUAUGAGAUGGACCCGCGUCUGAUUAGGUAGUUGGUGGGGUAACGGCCUACCAAGCCAACGAUCAGUAGCCGACCUGAGAGGGUGACCGGCCACAUUGGGACUGAGACACGGCACAAACUCCUACGGGAGGCAGCAGUGGGGAAUAUUGCACAAUGGGGGAAACCCUGAUGCAGCGACGCCGCGUGAGCGAAGAAGUAUUUCGGUAUGUAAAGCUCUAUCAGCAGGGAAGAAAAUGACGGUACCUGACUAAGAAGCACCGGCUAAAUACGUG